GCUAUACAUGCAGUCGAGCGAGCAAUUUUAACGGAAGGCCUUCGGGCUGGAAGCUAAAAGCGCGAGCGGCGGAUGGGUGAGUAACACGUGGGCAACCUGCCCUUUAGCUUGGGAUACCACUUGGAAACAGGUGCUAAUACCAAAUAAGAAGCAAGAGCGCAUGCUCAAGCUAUGAAAGGCGGCUUUCGAGCUGUCACUAAAGGAUGGGCCCGCGGUGCAUUAGCUAGUUGGUAAGGUAACGGCUUACCAAGGCAAUGAUGCAUAGCCGAGUUGAGAGACUGAUCGGCCACAUUGGGACUGAGACACGGCCCAAACUCCUACGGGAGGCAGCAGUAGGGAAUCUUCCACAAUGGACGCAAGUCUGAUGGAGCAACGCCGCGUGAGUGAAGAAGGUUUUCGGAUCGUAAAGCUCUGUUGUUGGUGAAGAAGGAUGUGAAUAGUAACUGAUUCAUAUUUGACGGUAAUCAACCAGAAAGUCACGGCUAACUACGUGCCAGCAGCCGCGGUAAUACGUAGGUGGCAAGCGUUGUCCGGAUUUAUUGGGCGUAAAGCGAACGCAGGCGGGAGAACAAGUCAGCUGUGAAAGCCCUCGGCUUAACCGGGGAAGUGCAGCUGAAACUGUUUUUCUUGAGUGCAGAAGAGGAGAGUGGAACUCCAUGUGUAGCGGUGGAAUGCGUAGAUAUAUGGAAGAACACCAGUGGCGAAGGCGGCUCUCUGGUCUGUAACUGACGCUGAGGUUCGAAAGCAUGGGUAGCGAACAGGAUUAGAUACCCUGGUAGUCCAUGCCGUAAACGAUGAGUGCUAAGUGUUGGGAGGUUUCCGCCUCUCAGUGCUGCAGCUAACGCAUUAAGCACUCCGCCUGGGGAGUACGACCGCAAGGUUAAAACUCAAAGGAAUUGACGGGGGCCCGCACAAGCGGUGGAGCAUGUGGUUUAAUUCGAAGCAACGACGAAGAACCUUACCAGGUCUUGAACAUUCUAGUUGCCCAGUCCUAGAGAUAGGACGUUCCCCUUUCGGGGACACUAAGACCAGGUGGGGCCAUGGCUGUCGUCCAGCUCCGGUGGUCGGGUGAGGAUGUUUGGGUUUCAAGUCCCGCCCAACCGGAGCCGCCUAACCCCUUUAUUUAU
rnacentral:rRNA from 1 species